CAGGUUUCUUUUUCUGCCUGCACUUUCUUUGAGGUUGCAGUAGAGUGUGUGUGUCUAUAGAAGGUCUACUUUUAAUUCUCAAGUCUUCCCAGAGAGCAGCAGACACAGCAAUACAACCUGAUUCAAAACUCAAAUCUGUGCUGCCCUAACAGGCUUGAAGAUGCCUCAGCCCUUGCCUCAGCAGCUAACGAUAUAACGUGCAUGGGAUGUAAAGCUACCAGAUGGUGGAGCCUCCAGCAGUCAGGAUACCUGAGUAACUAUAUGGAUCAGGGCCCCUGCUCCCAAUACAACCCAGAAUUGGAUAUGUAAGAUGAACAAGAAGUACAUCAAGAAGUAAACACCUAUUUCAGUAAGUCAGUUAGGUUUAGAGGUUCAUUUAGCAUCAGAGCAUAAGCUUAGUCUAUCUUGACUGACAGGAGGUUUUGCAAAUGAUUAAGUUACAUUUUUAAUGAUAUGUUAAUAUACUAACAACCUUGUUAAUGAUUUUGCUUUUCAAUGUCUCUUGCCAUGUCUCUAUCCUGAAAAGUAUUCUGAGAUUGCAAAACUAUUCAUUUACCUUUUGUGUAUGCAAAUAAGGAUUUUCUUAAUAUAAUACAACCAGAGGAAAAAACAAUGAAAGCAAAAUGGGGAGAAUGCUGAGUUGCUAAAGCUAAAAAGAAUCUCCUGAUCAUUUAUACUCCCAGUUUAAAAAUUUAGUUUCCUAUCAGCCUUAUUCUCUCAAUAAGUAUCUUUAUAAUCAGAAAAUGUAAAUUUGAGCUUGUAAAACAAAUUUAGGCUCGUAAAUGCCAUUUUUAUGUUUACAUAUUAUGUCUCCCAUAAAAGUACACUAGAAAAUGGUUGAAAAUAAUUACUUUUAGGGCUACAAAGAAUACAUCUCAAUUGUCUUUCACACGAUACCCUUAACAGACUACUAGCAACCUUAACCGUAGGAUGUGGGUGGGGCCUUGGUGUUUAUCUAGUGAAGCCCUUCAUUUUUAUAGAUUGGGUAACCAAGGCCUAGAGAGGUCAAGUGUAUCUCUCAAGGUCACAUACUGGGAAAAGAACAGAGCCAGAACUCAGGGUUUGCCCACUUCAUGUGGAAGUGCUGUCACAUGAAGUUUCCCUCCAUCUUUUACUCAAGCAAUUAACUUACUCUCUCAAUUCACCCAAACAUUUGGUUAAUGUGGCAUGAUUUCCCACAAAGUGUUUUCCAGCUGUGAAAGCUAGGUCAAACUAUUUACUUAUUUACUUAUGUAGCUUUCUUAGUUUAUUA